GACGAACGCUGGCGGCGUGCUUAACACAUGCAAGUCGAACGAAGAGCGAUGGAAGCUUGCUUCUAUCAAUCUUAGUGGCGAACGGGUGAGUAACGCGUAAUCAACCUGCCCUUCAGAGGGGGACAACAGUUGGAAACGACUGCUAAUACCGCAUACGAUCUAAUCUCGGCAUCGAGGAUAGAUGAAAGGUGGCCUCUACAUGUAAGCUAUCACUGAAGGAGGGGAUUGCGUCUGAUUAGCUAGUUGGAGGGGUAACGGCCCACCAAGGCGAUGAUCAGUAGCCGGUCUGAGAGGAUGAACGGCCACAUUGGGACUGAGACACGGCCCAGACUCCUACGGGAGGCAGCAGUGGGGAAUCUUCCGCAAUGGACGAAAGUCUGACGGAGCAACGCCGCGUGAGUGAUGACGGCCUUCGGGUUGUAAGCUCUGUUAAUCGGGACGAAAGGCCUUCUUGCGAAUAGUGAGAAGGAUUGACGGUACCGGAAUAGAAAGCCACGGCUAACUACGUG
rnacentral:rRNA from 1 species